CAUAUUGUUAGCUGCAUAUACGCUCGCGCAAGAGGAGCAAAGAAACAUGGCUCGGCACGGAUUCAUAUUCCUACGUCGUCUCGAGAGAUUAGAGAUCUCCAUCCAUUUUCUAUGGAGAUGUAACGAUUCACAAACACUUGUGAAUCCGCACGCUCCUCGGAAGCCGACAUAGAUCAAUAUCGCGGACGUUUCCGUUGCCAGAGAAACUUGAGUACUCGCGCCACGUACGGCAAACACCCACGUUAUCGAGCAUGCAGGAUGUCGAACCGCGGAAGGAUACGAAGCGAGGACGAUCCUUCCUGGCAACGAAGGGCGUACGAGCGUCACCGUUCUAGGGUAAAGACAGCCAGACCGACGGUAGAUGUGAACCCUCCGGAGGGCAGACCUCACGUUUCGUUCAACGCAAAGAGACUGCAGCUAGAACGCGAACGGCAGGCGCGGAUCCUCAGGGACAAUUUCAUUCUGCUCAAGAAACUCCGCGAGAUCAUGCAUCGGAAACGACGCGUCGUGGAGGAUUCCCAACGGGUCCAAUGGCAGGAAACUAGAUGCGUCAGGGUUCGUUAGAGAAAACGGAGCCUCGAAUAUCCCUUCGCCAUUACGUCAUUCGCAAUUUAUAUGUGUGCACAUAUCUUUUGUAUUUCAUCUGCAAUGGACGGCAAAUGGAAGGAGAAAGUUACGAAGAGGAGAAAGCUGAGGAGGAUCUCGCAGAAGAGAAAGACUACGACGAAGAGGACCAACCUGCAUACGAAUCAACAAUUUCAUUAGAGGAAACCGAGUAUGACACACGUG